CCCGGCCCUGCCCUCACGGGCGGAGCGCCCGCCGGAGGAUACCAAACUCUAUUUUAACGACGUUUCUUCUGAGUGGCACAAGCAAAUAAUUAAAACUUUCAACAACGGAUCUCUUGGUUCUGGCAUCGAUGAAGAACGCAGCGAAAUGCGAUAAGUAAUGUGAAUUGCAGAAUUCAGUGAAUCAUCGAAUCUUUGAACGCACAUUGCGCCCGCCAGCAUUCUGGCGGGCAUGCCUGUUCGAGCGUCAUUUCAACCCUCAAGCUCUGCUUGGUGUUGGGGCCCUACGGUUGACGUAGGCCCUUAAAGGUAGUGGCGGACCCUCUCGGAGCCUCCUUUGCGUAGUAACUAACGUCUCGCACUGGGAUUCGGAGGGACUCUUGCCGUAAAACCCCCAAAUUUUUAAAGGUUGACCUCGGAUCAGGUAGGAAUACCCGCUGAACUUAAGCAUAUCAAUAAGCCGGGAGGAACCU
rnacentral:rRNA from 1 species